UUGAACGCUGGCGGCGUGCUUAACACAUGCAAGUCGAACGAAUUUUAGAAGCUUGCUUCUAAAAUUAGUGGCGCACGGGUGAGUAACGCGUGGAUGAUCUACCCUUGAGUUUGGAAUAACAGUGGGAAACUGCUGCUAAUACUGAAUAACAUCACAAUUCAACCUGUGAUCAAAGGCGGUGCAAGCUGUCGCUUGGGGAUGAGUCCGCGUCUCAUUAGCUAGUUGGUGGGGUAAAGGCCUACCAAGGCAACGAUGAGUAGCCGGUCUGAGAGGAUGAUCGGCCACACUGGGACUGGAACACGGCCCAGACUCCUACGGGAGGCAGCAGUGGGGAAUAUUGCGCAAUGGGCGAAAGCCUGACGCAGCGACGCCGCGUGAGGGAUGAAGGUUCUCGGAUCGUAAACCUCUGUCAGAAGGAAAGAACCACUAAGGGAGUAACUGCCCUUAGCCUGACGGUACCUUCAAAGGGAGCACCGGCUAACUCCGUGCC
rnacentral:rRNA from 1 species